rnacentral:rRNA from 1 species
UACGUAGGGGGCAAGCGUUGUCCGGAUUCAUUGGGCGUAAAGAGCGUGUAGGCGGCCAGGUAGGUCGGUUGUGAAAACUGGAGGCUCAACCUUCAGAGGUCGACCGAAACCAUCUGGCGUAGAGUCCGGGAGAUGGAGAGUGGAAUUCCUGGUGUGAGCGGUGGAAAUGACGCAGAUAUCAGGAAGAACACCCGUGGCGAAAGCGGCUCUCGUGGAACGGUACUGACGCUGAGGAGCGAAAGCAUGGGGGAGCGAAACAGGG